GACAAGCAAUUAAUUAGGUGGAUAACAUUGCUGACUUUUUCUCCCUAGUCCUUGGCUUCCUUCGCACGUUCCCUUCUCCUCUUCUCUUCGAGCAUCCCUUGUUCCUCGACUCCGCCUGCUUCUGUCUUCAUUUCUUCUUUUUCGGCCCUGCAACUCCGCUUCUCUCUUGCUGCCGUUUACUUCUCUGCCAGUCCCUACCUUUCUCCACCGACAGUCCAUUUUCAGCUUCCAUCUGUACGCGUCUCAUCCCCCCUGCCGAAUCAAACUCCACCAAAGCCACCAGCUCUUGUCGCCCACGCAUCCGAGCCUCCUCUCGUUUGGUCAACCAGUGGAGCUUUCCACCGGUUUGUUGACUCCAUCACUUCACCGAAGUCACGAAGCAAGUCCACCGAGAUCUCCACCCAUCGGUCAACACUGCAGCAUCUUCAACGUCCACCGGAUUUCUCUACUUCGCGUGAGUCAACAAGCCGAAGCAAAGCCGAUUUCUCCAGUUCCAUCUUUGCCCGUGUAUCGCCUAGCGGCUUCCCCCUCGCGGCCAGCAAAUCCCGUCAUGGGCCCAGCUCCAUCGAAGACCAAGCCCACCGAAUCAGUCUAGCAAAUUCCAGCGCCUGUAGUCAGCCCAUUCCAACCCAAUUGAAGUCCAAGAGCUUGCAAGAAUUUGGCCCAUCAAUCCAGCGAAUUGAGUCAGCCCAUCAGUCCACGGUUUGGCCCAUUUUUCAGCUUAGUUUCAAGUCUAGCAGCUUGCAAGCCCAGUUGAGUUUAGCCCAAGCCCAGCAAUUUGCUGUGGGCUUGCAAGCCUUGGGCCCGGUCCAAGCCCGUUGGUGUCGUCGUGAGCCCAAGUUCGACCGUCAUUGCGCCGUCGUCGCGAUGAUCCGAUCCCCGCUUUUAAUCAAGUGAGUUUUACUCACUAAUGCUUUCUUAGUUUGCUAAUUAUGCCUAAAGGUUGAUUAGAUUUAAUUAAGUGUAAUUAUGUUGUUAGAUUAGAAUAGAUUAGUAAUUAUUAGAUAAUUGUGAUGCAUGUUAGGCAAUUAAAUUGUGCAUUUAGCAAAUAGACAUGUGUUAGUAUUUAUUGAAUGCAUCUUGGGAUUUUUCCCGACCCUUAUCGGGCUUCAAUUAGGCAUUACGGGCCUAAAUUGGAUUUUUAGUAUUUAUUUAUCAAUUUUCGAAAUUGAUUAUUUAAUUAUUUAUUUUUCGGAAAUUAGACUGGGAUAGCCGAUGACCGAAAUUUCGUGCUGAUUGUCGUGGUGCAGUCCGUUUAUUUAUUUGAGCUCUACGUUGUGUGAAAUUUACUUAAUUGUGCAAUUUGAGGAAUUGUUCCUAAAUUGAUUGGAAUUGAAUGUAAAUUGAGUGAUUGAUUGGUCGAUGGCCGAGUAUGGUUAUUUAACCUUUAUAAUGCUUUGAUGAGUUGUAAAGCGGAAAUAAUCAUGAGAGUGAACUGGGAAUUCUCUUGGCUGAGACCGAUCAGGUACGAAGUAUAGACAUGUGUGGUUCGGUGAUUAAAGAUAUUACUGUGUGAAAACGAUGCCUUAAAGAACGCAUGUAGACUAUUUAUGACUUGUGGCAGGCGUGGUUCGGUGAUUAAGGAUAUUACUGUGCAAAAACGACGCCUUAAAGAACGCACGUAGACUGCCUAUGAUUUGUGACGGGCGUGGUUCGGUGAUGAAGGACAUCACUGUGCGAAAAUGACGCCUUAAAGAACGCACGUAGACUGUCUGUGAUCUAUGACGGGUGUGGUUGGUGAUGAGGAAUAUCACUGUGUAAAAACGGCGUCUUAAAGAACGCACGUAGACCGUCUGUUACUUAUGUCACCUUGGCGAAAACGACGCCCGAGAGUAUUAAUGGAACUCUGUGACUAAGUUUACUAUUGGAGGUUAUAUGGAAUGGAAUGAAUGACCCAGAAAUGAUCCGACCGACAUGUAAUCGACUAGGUCGAUUGAUCGAUGAUUCGAUUUGAGUGUGAUUUGAUGUGAUUCAUUGCUUUAAUCUAAUGUUGUGAAUUAAUUGAUUGAAUGGAAUGAUCGGUGAAUGGUUGAUUGAGACAUAAUCGACUAGGUCGAUUGAUCAUUGCUUUAAAUUGAUGUUGUAAAUAGGUUGCAAUAAUGGAAAUGACCGUGAGUGGUCUUGUUGGCGUGUAAUCGAUUAUGUCGAUUUGAUCGAUGCUUCGAUCAGUGAUGUGAUUGCUUGGGUGCCUAUUUGAUCCGUGCUAAUAUGAAGGUGGAAUAUGAGGCUAAGGUAAGUUCUCUGACUCAUGUUGUGCAUCGGCAGCCCUAAGGUGUAUUAGUUUACUAAUUAGGUCUUAUGGGGUAGAACUUGCUGAGACGUAAUCUCAUUCUGGUUGUGGGACAACAUUUCAGGACCCUGAUGAGGAACCUGAGGAGAAAGAACCCGAAGAGGAGUAUUUGGAGGAGAACCCCGAGAAUGAUCCAGAGUAGGAUCCUGAUGAGAACUGAGACUCUACUCCUAUUUGAUGACUUUUGCCGUGGAACUUUUUGAGUAGAAACUGACCUUUUUAAGAUGGCUUGUAUAUGUAUAUGUAUGACUGAGUGUUAUAGAUGUAUAUAAGGGUGUUGGUUUUCAAGUUUGAGUUUCUAGUCCUACUUGUAUAUCCCAUUGUUUUAUUGUCGGUGGAUUUUUAUAACUGCUUCCACAUGUGCUAUUAAAAAGGAAAGGGUCGGUGAUAUGUAUUCUUGGGAUAUCGUAUUUUAAAAUCAACCAAAGGUAAGGGAUAUGCGCGUGCCUGAGGAUCAGGGCGUGACAAUUUCAGCUUGUGUGAGCAGUAUACUAUAUCAGCCUAUAAGUGCUUGAUAUGUCAGCUUGUGAGAGCAGUAUACUUAUUUAGCUUGUGUGAGCAACGAUCGUCUAUCAGCUUGUGAGAG
rnacentral:lncRNA from 1 species